GAGACAGGAAAAGGAAGAGAGAGCAAUGAGAACAGUAUUUUGAAAUGGAUCUGUAAAUUUUAAAGUUAAUGAAAAAGAGGAGGAUAAGAUGAUGUGGAGGCUCCGACAAGCGUUAAUUCCACGCUAUAAUUUGCAGAGAAAGUUCCAGAAGCCCACAGCUCGGUUUCCUCUGUUUCAUUUCUUAAUAUUUCAUCUCAUCUCAAAUCUUCACUCUCCUUCGGCUGAUCGUUUCUGAAGCCUCCCUCCAGAUCCCUCUCUUUCAGGCAUCACUGACUCGUUCUGCGCGACGGCGUUGAAGUUGUUUUGUUUUGAGCUGAGCUGCGUGCUACUAUGGCAUCCAAGCGCAUCUUGAAGGAACUCAAGGAUUUGCAGAAGGACCCUCCCACCUCUUGCAGUGCUGGUCCUGUAGCUGAAGACAUGUUCCAUUGGCAAGCAACGAUUUUGGGACCUACUGAUAGCCCAUAUGCUGGAGGCGUAUUUCUUGUCUCGAUUCAUUUUCCACCUGAUUAUCCUUUCAAGCCCCCAAAGGUUGCAUUUAGAACCAAGGUCUUCCAUCCAAAUAUUAAUAGCAAUGGGAGUAUUUGUUUGGAUAUUCUUAAAGAGCAAUGGAGCCCAGCAUUGACCAUUUCUAAGGUUUGAUCUGAUUAUGCCCUUCUCUCUUUUAUAGAUCAAAAUUUUGCAUUUUAUUUUAUUCUACUUUAAGUCCUUUUAUUAUCAUUAUUUUGAUAAAUGAUAUGAUUCUGCACAUCCACAUAAGAAGGUUGAGAAAAUGGCAUGAAUGGAUGAUGGACCCAUGAUAUGGUUACAUUGGAUUUACUGUUUGAUUAAGUAUGGAUAUUUUAAAAGAAGUUGCAUAAAAUUAAGCAUUGAACUCGUCUCCCAACCCCCCAAAAGGAGGGAAAGCUAAGUGUCAAAAGGCAUUGAGGCAUAAAACCUUUUUGAAUUUGAUUUUUAAUUUAAGACUAAAGAAAGAUAAUUUAAUGUAUAUUAAUAGGAAGUUAGGAAAUUAUAAAUAAAAAUUAAGUAAUUAAGUAAAACUUCUAUAAUUUCAAGCCUAGUUGUAGGCCAUUCUAAGCCUACAAACUUAAUUUCUUUCAAAUAGACUGCGCAAAGAGGUUAUCAUAAGUCAUAAGUUGCAAUGUUCAAAUUGUCUUUGUCGUCAUGGUCCAAGCCAUAGUCAUCAAAUUGAGAUUUCAAUCCUGUAUUGAAAUCCUGAUUUCAUGGAUUGAGGAUCAAGUCGCAAGAUUCAAUACAAAAUUUGAAAAACAAAUUCCAAAAUGACUCGCGUAUAUGUACAAUAAGAUAGUAAAAACUCAUUGCAAUUUCUAUAAAACAUGGAUUAACCAUGUUGAUGAUUGGAAAGACACGUGUCUUUGAAGCAUGUUUUGUAGGUCUAGAUCCUACCAUGAUGUAUUUAACUUAAACAUAUGUUGACAUAAAAGAGAAAACUAGCCAAAUAAACGAGAUAUACCAUGACCUAACCAUUCCACAGGUAUCAAGUUAAGCUAGUUUGUAUGAAACUAACAAUAUGUUUUAUGUGACCCAAAACUAAAGCAGUAAAUCUAGUUCAGGAGACACUUAAAAAAUAAGACAGGACCCAUGCAAUUUUCUUUAGGAAAACAUGUUUAUGGUGGAAGUUUACAUGUUUGACAAUAAAAAAUUCAUGUGUAUACUUUCUUUUUAAAAAAAGUGAGGAGUCAAGAAAAGAAUAAUGAAAAAUUGAACUUCAUGGUUUUUAGGGAAUGAAUCAAUAAAAAAAGAUUAAAAAUUUGAACAUUAUGGUGUUAAAUGAAAAAAAAAUUCAUUUUUAAUCCAUGGGCUUUCUCUAAGAACUAAAACAAGAAGAAAAAGUAAUAAAAAACAUAAAUAGGACUUACUAAAAUAUGAAAGUUCUUAAAAAAAUCAGACCUUUAAUCCAAAGAGUGGAGAAGCACCCACCUAGUUGACUUUGGUUUUCUUCUAAAGAUUGGUUUCCUUCCCUAACUCUCGUUUUCUUAUAAUCUUAUCCAACACAGAAAAAGAAAGGUGCAGAACGAGAAGGCCAACAGACCUCUUUCUUCCUCUUGGAGGACGGAAUAUGUCCACAUGGCAGUAGCAGAGUCGAUGAACAGGGUGGGACCGACCAAUUUCACCCAAUCUGCUGCCACAUAGGUAGUCUAACCUAAUAUCAUUCAAAAUCAUUCAAAAUAUGUGUAUAUAAAUUUAAAUUUUGUAAUAUCAAACAUUCAAAAUACAUGUAUAUAAUUAGUUGUCUAAAAUAUGAUAUGGUUACACACUUACACUACUUGACCUAAAAUAUGACAUGGUUAUGCCGCCCAACAGCCAUCAAUGCACCAAGUGAACACAUGAAAUGUCCCAUGAGUAGUCAAGGCAUCCAUUUCUAUGUCCAUUGCAUGCUUCUACCCAGGGUUAGCAAGUGCUUUAGGACAUGAGGAAGGGAUAGGGACAGGUCAUUGACAUGGCAAAAGAAUGCAUAGGUCUAGGAAGGUGUUGAACUGAAAUAAAAAUGACUAUUACAUGUCUGGGUACCUUUCCUGUGUGAUCAGUGAAUCCAAAUCACAUGGGUCUGUAGAACUAGAAGUCAAAACAGUGGAGGGCGAAAGAGGCGGUUGCAUAGUGGUAGACUGGUAGUGAUGUCUACCUUCUUUCCAUUGUUCAUAAACCCCCCAUUGCUUUUUUAGAUCAAUAAUUGAUGGAUCCAAAGGAGGAUUAGAAGUUCGCUCUAGAAUGAUAAGGGUAGGGAUAAGUAAAUCAAUAAACCAGGGGAGCUAGAAAUCAUUGAUGGAUGCAAUAUAUAUUUAUCCGAUGAGUACGCAACACUAGAAAAGGGAAAAAAAAUGUGCCCCCUAAAAAAUGGUAACAUCUGCACUAAAAUGUUUGCUGCGGGUGGGGAUCAUAAUGUUUAUAUCCUUUCUGAGUUCUCCAGUAGCCUACAAAGACACAUUUGACCCGCAUGGGGGACAUGAACAAAACAUGUGCACCCAAAGGCACGAAACACAACAAAGAUCAUGGAUAUUUUUGGAUACAUGAUAGACCCCCUAUAACACUGGAGGGCGUGCUAUUAACUAGAAGCAAGCUAUAGGAAGCACACACACACACCCACCCCUUGAAACCAUAACAGGCAGUUGGAGAAUCCAUCCAAUUUGAUGGCUGUGAUAUGUACAUUAACAGUAUCAGUCUAAGCUCUCCCUGUAGAGGCCAUCAGUACCACCCCCAAUAUGCUACGAAAAAUGCACCCCAGUACCAGGAAUGAACAAAACAGCAGUAAUAUGAAAUCAGGCAGUGCACACAAGCACAGAGCAGAAUUCUGGAACUUAACAGUGUCAGUCUAAGCUCUCCCUGUAGAGGCCAUCAGUACCACCCCAAUAUGCUACAAAAAAUGCACCCCAGUACCAGGAAUGAGCAAAACAGCAGUAAUAUGAAAUCAGGCAGUGCACACAAGCACAGAGCAGAAUUCUAGAACUUCAGAACUUCAGGAUGGCUCACGAAACAUAAGUACCAAGAUCACACGAGGAAUUACUUGUCCAUGUGGAAGUGGGCAAACCACAGUAAGUACAAUAAGCAUAUAAACAGCCUGGUGGCACAACAGCUGCGAAUAUGAUGGCUGGCAGCAACUAGAAAUUAGUGCCAACAAGAGCAGGAAAUAAGGUCAUAGAACACCAAUCAAAAACACCAGCGACUGAUUGAAGAUUGCAGCAAUCAAUAACGAGAGCACAACAUCAUUGUGCCACAACCAACCAACGAACAACUACACAGCAACGGCAGUUACCAGAAACAGUGCGUCACACAGCAAGAGCAGAUACCAGAAAUGGAGUGUCACUUCACAUGAGCAAAUCACCAUGAACACACCCAGCAUCCUGCCAAGGAUGCUGCACGGCGAAGUGGAGAUGAAAAGUGACCUGAACAACUCAAACCAACCAGAACUCAUAUUUGGGAGCUGAUAAGAAUAGUGUCAGUAAAAAUACUCAAGAAAAAUCAGAUUUAAAGGAGAUUAAUGCUCUUAUAUCAUGUUGUAAAGUUAGAUAUGAAGGUGAGAAGAAGAGGAGACGAAAACAAGAGAAAGGAGGUGGCAGUUUUGUGGAAUUACGUUAAGCUUUAAGCCUGGCCUUUUACAUAUUAAUAAUAAAAAAGCUGGAAAGACAAAAGUUCCCUUACAUGUUA